AACGCGAAGAACCUUACCUGGGCUCGAAGUGCUACUGACCAGCGGCAGAAACGUCGCCUUCUCGCAAGAGACAGUAGUAGAGGUGCUGCAUGGCUGUCGUCAGCUCGUGCCGUGAGGUGUUGGGUUAAGUCCCGCAACGAGCGCAACCCUUACUCUUAGUUGCCACCCGCAAGGGGGAACUCUAAGAGGACUGCUCCGGAUAACGGAGAGGAAGGUGGGGAUGACGUCAAGUCAGCACGGCCUUUAUGUCCAGGGCUACACACGUGUUACAAUGCAUGGUACAAACUGUUGCGAUCCCGCGAGGGGGAGCUAAUCGGAGAAAACCAUGCUCAGUUCGGAUUGCAGUCUGCAACUCGACUGCAUGAAGCUGGAAUCGCUAGUAAUGGCGUAUCAGAACGACGCCGUGAAUACGUUCCCGGGCCUUGUA
rnacentral:rRNA from 1 species